CGGACGGGUGAGUAACGCGUGAGAAUCUAGCUUCAGGUCGGGGACAACCACGGGAAACUGUGGCUAAUACCGGAUAUGCCGAGAGGUGAAAGGCUUGCUGCCUGAAGAUGAGCUCGCGUCUGAUUAGCUAGUAGGUGUGGUAAAAGCGCUCCUAGGCGACGAUCAGUAGCUGGUCUGAGAGGAUGAUCAGCCACACUGGGACUGAGACACGGCCCAGACUCCUACGGGGGGCAGCAGUGGGGAAUUUUCCGCAAUGGGCGAAAGCCUGACGGAGCAAUACCGCGUGAGGGAGGAAGGCUCUUGGGUUGUAAACCUCUUUUCUCUGGGAAGAAAAAAAUGACGGUACCUGAGGAAUAAGCAUCGGCUAACUCCGUGCCAGCAGCCGCGGUAAUACGGAGGAUGCAAGCGUUAUCCGGAAUGAUUGGGCGUAAAGGGUCCGCAGGUGGCUAUGUAAGUCUGCUGUUAAAGAACCUAGCUUAACUAGGUAAAAGCAGUGGAAACUACACAGCUAGAGUGCGUUCGGGGUAGAGGGAAUUCCUGGUGUAGCGGUGAAAUGCGUAGAUAUCAGGAAGAACACCAGUGGCGAAGGCGCUCUACUAGGCCGCAACUGACACUGAGGGACGAAAGCUAGGGGAGCUAAUGGGAUUAGAUACCCCAGUAGUC
rnacentral:rRNA from 1 species